rnacentral:rRNA from 1 species
AGCGAACGCUGGCGGCAGGCCUAACACAUGCAAGUCGAACGAACCCUUCGGGGUUAGAGGCGGACGGGUGAGUAACACGCGGGAACGCGCCUUUAGGUUCGGAAUAACUCAGGGAAACUUGUGCUAAUACCGAAUGUGCCCUUCGGGGGAAAGAUUUAUCGCCUUUCGAGCGGCCCGCGUCUGAUUAGCUAGUUGGUGAGGUAAUGGCUCACCAAGGCUACGAUCAGUAGCUGGUCUGAGAGGAUGACCAGCCACAUUGGGACUGAGACACGGCCCAAACUCCUACGGGAGGCAGCAGUGGGGAAUCUUGCGCAAUGGGCGAAAGCCUGACGCAGCCAUGCCGCGUGGAUGAUGAAGGUCUUAGGAUUGUAAAAUCCUUUCACCGGUGAAGAUAAUGACUGUAGCCGGAGAAGAAGCCCCGGCUAACUUCGUGCCAGCCGCCGCAGUAACAC